AUCCGAUGGUGAGGGCAAGCUUCUAGCAACUUCUUAAAUCUUUCCCAAUACUCAUACAAAGUCUCCCCAUCCUUUUACACAAUGCAAGAGAUCUCUCUUCGUAGCUU